rnacentral:tRNA from 2 species
GCGGUCUUCGUCUAGUGGUUAGGACUCCAGGUUUUCAUCCUGGCAACAGGGGUUCGACUCCCCUAGACCGUACCA